CGUGGGUGUGGCUACCGCUACAACUCGAUUUGCAACGAGUGAGUAAGAGGAGCUGCUGAUAAAGGCAUUUCAGGUCUAGUAGUAAUAUAAUUAUAAGAACUCCAUUGGAGACAGCAGGUGGUACUAAGAUGGUUCAGACUUACAAGAUAGCAGUCCUUGGAGAUGGAGGAGUAGGAAAAUCAGCAAUCACCAUUCAGUUCACUAGUGGUAUCUUUGCAACUGACUAUGACCCAACAAUAGAGGAUGCUUAUAGGAUUGAUGUUGAGGUUGAUGGUGAAGUGGUUGGUUUAGACAUUA